AUGUGAUCGUCUCUCGCAUAUCAAUAAGCGGAGGAAAAGAAACUAACAAGGAUUCCCCUAGUAACGGCGAGUGAAGCGGGAAGAGCUCAAAUUUGAAAUCUUAAAGGGUUUCCCUUUACGAAUUGUAGUUUAAAGAAGUGUUUUCUGUUGAGGUUUUGGUAAAAGUUCUUUGGAAUAGGACAUCAUAGAGGGUGAGAAUCCCGUAUUUGACCUUUACUUUCAACUUUGUGAUACACUUUCAAAGAGUCGGAUUGUUUGGGAAUGCAGUCCAAAAUGGGUGGUAAAUUUCAUCUAAAGCUAAAUAUUGGCGAGAGACCGAUAGCGAACAAGUACCGUGAGGGAAAGAUGAAAAGAACUUUGAAAAGAGAGUUAAACAGUACGUGAAAUUGUCAAAAGGGAAGCGUUUGACACCAGUGUUGUUUUUCUGAAAAUCAAUUAAAGAACUGUUUAUGCUAAGUUGUUUAGACUUUAUCAGCUAACUGUUUAGUUUUGAGCUUUUCUUUAAUGCACUUUUCAGUUAACAAGUCAACAUCAAUUUCUUUUGCUGUAAAAAAGCUUGAGGAAGGUGGCUUGAGAUUCGUCUUAAGUGUUUAUAGCCUCUUGCCUAUGCAGUCGGAGAGAUUGAGGUCUGCAGCGUAGAUCCUUCGGGGCUAAAUGCAUUUGUGCUAAGUUAUAGCAUUUUAUAGACAACUUGUUGACUAUGAUUUGUCUUGUAGCUUACUCGCUUAUGCUAUUUUACCUACGCUUAGGAUGUUGACUGAUAUGUAGUCGUA
rnacentral:rRNA from 1 species